rnacentral:rRNA from 1 species
AUUGAACGCUGGCGGCAUGCCUUACACAUGCAAGUCGAACGGCAGCACGGGAGCAAUCCUGGUGGCGAGUGGCGAACGGGUGAGUAAUAUAUCGGAACGUGCCCAGUCGUGGGGGAUAACGCAGCGAAAGCUGUGCUAAUACCGCAUACGAUCUACGGAUGAAAGCGGGGGAUCGCAAGACCUCGCGCGAUUGGAGCGGCCGAUAUAAGAUUAGCUAGUUGGUGGGGGAAAGGCCCACCAAGGCGGCGAGCUGUAGCUGGGCUGAGAGGACGGCAGGCCACACUGGAACUGAGAAACGGUCCAGACUCCUACGGGGGGCAGCAGUGGGGAAUUUUGGACAAGGGGCGAAAGCCUGAUCCAGCAAUGCCGCGUGCAGGAUGAAGGCCUUCGGGUUGUAAACUGCUUAUGUACGGAACGAAACGGCUCCUUCUAAUACAAGGGGCUAAUGACGGUACCGUAAGAAUAAGCACCGGCUAACUACGUGCCAGCCGCCGCCGUAAAAC